GAUGAACGCUAGCGGGAGGCUUAAUACAUGCAAGUCGAGCGGCAAGGUCUUCGGACCCUAGAGCGGCGCACGGGUGAGUAACGCGUACGCAAUCUGCCCUUCAGUGAGGAAUAGCCCUGGGAAACUGGGAUUAAUACCUCAUAACAUUGUCUGAUCGCAUGGUCGGAUAAUUAAAGUUCUGGCGCUGACGGAUGAGCGUGCGUCUGAUUAGCUAGGUGGUAGGGUAACGGCCUACCAAGGCGACGAACAUUAGGGGGCGUGAGCGCGUGACCCCCCACACGGGGACUGAGACGCGGAACCGACUCCUACGGGAGGCAGCAGUAAGGAAUAUUGGGCAAUGGAGGCAACUCUGACCCAGCCAUCCCGCGUGAAGGAUUAAGGCGCUAUGGGUUGUAAACUUCUUUUGUUUGGGAAGAAAUCAGGACAUUUAUGUGCUGUUGACGGUACCUUACGAAUAAGCACCGGCUAACUCCGUGCCAGCCGCCGCAGUAAGAC
rnacentral:rRNA from 1 species